rnacentral:lncRNA from 1 species
AUCAACGUUACUGGUUGUUUUCUGUCAGCCUACAUAUUUAUCUUCGUAUGGAUUUCUCUAAUACUCCUUCUCUGUGAUGCAUGUAUGUGUGUGCGCGUGUGUGUGUGUCUGUCUGUCUGUGUGUGUGUGUGUGUGUGUGAGUGCCACCGUUAAUCCAGACAAGUUUUGUUUCACUCUGUUGUUUCUUGUUUUUUUUCUCUUUGUUUUUCUUUUUUGCUUCUUUUUCUCUCUAUCUGUUUCCUCACCUCACUCCUUUCUGUAGAUGAGCGUUGGCUCGAAACGUCAAAGACUCUUCUAUUUUUCCUUAGCGCCAAGCUAAUACACUUACUUUGUGGUUCCCUUACUUGUCUUUCUCUUCUACUUUGUUUUUCUUUAUUUCUUUGUACAAUUUUGAACUAUAUAUAUAUAUAUAUAUAUAUAUAUAUACACAUACUUUACACAUCAGUUUACUUUACACUUUAACACAUCAGUUACAAUUGUUUCUGUACAUUUCUAUACCAACUCUGCUUGCAACGUUAAAUUACGUAAAAGUUGGAAGUGAAGAUUUACAAAAUAUUUGCGGUUUUAGACACUUGAGUGACACUUCAUUAGACAGGCAAAAAGGUGCGCUUUUACACACACAUACACACACACACAUACAGACACACAAAUACAUAUUCCUACUUAUAUACAAACAUAUAUACAUAUACAUAUUUAUGUUGGUAAAAAUCCGUUGAAUUAUUUCAUUUUUACAGAAACACGCACAUCAACACUUAUCCAAACACAAUGACAGCCGUAUACACACUAUGUAUAUGCGUGUAAUACUUCAGAUGAUAUUGUAUGCCCACAACAGAGUCAAAUACUAUCCGUUUCACUAUAUACUCAGAGUUAUGCGUCGUUUUAUCUUUUAAUAGUACAUAUAAACCAAACGUCUACCUCUAUCUAUCUCUACAUCUGUUCAUUUAUCUCGUAAUAUAUGUACGUAUCCAUUUAUCUCUCUAUUUAUAUUUUGUUUCUCUGGCCCUCUCUCUCCCUUAUUCUCUUUGUCUCUCCCUCUUUUUCUCCCUCUUUCUCUCUCUCUCUCUCUCUCUCUCUCUCUCUCUCUCUUUGGGUCCCUCUGUACUUUUCUUACUGACUAUCUGACUAUCCUUCUAUUUUUCGUGUUGUUUAUUUUACACUUUGAUUGUUUCUUUCUGCAUCUACUUGUGUAUGUUUUAUUAUGUAUGUAUGUAUGUAUGUAUGUAUGUAUGUAUGUAUGUAUGUAUGUAUGUAUGUAUGUAUGUAUGUAUGUAUGUAUGUAUGUAUGUAUCUAUCUAUCUAUCUAUCUAUCUAUCUAUUUAUCUAUGUCUGCAUGUCUGACUAUUUAUCCAUCUAUUUAUCUGCAUAUUUUUAUAUCUACUAUUUGCUUGUAAUAUUUAUUGAAUAGUAUACGCAUAAAUUCAUACAUACAAACAUACAUGCAUAUGUAUCCAUAUAAAUAUAUUUAUUUAUCUAUCUAUAUGUAUACAUACCUUUAAAUUCGUACACACACAUACAUACAUAUAUAUAUAUAUACAUAUAUAGAGUUACAGAAUGAUAUAAAGAUCCAAGACUAUAAAGAUUUCAGAACAUCUAUAAAUAGGUCUUACACACAGACGCACGCAUACACACACACACACACACACACACACACACACACACACACACACACACAUAUAUAUAUAUAUAUAUAUAUAUAUAUAUACUCUUUCUCUCCUUUACUUGUUUCAGUCAUUUGACUGCGGCCAUGCUGGAGCAUCGCCUUUAGUCGAGCAAAUCGACCCCGGGACUUAUUCUUUGUAACCCCAGUACUUAUUCUAUCGGUCUCUUUUGCCGAACCGCUAAGUGACGGGACGUAAACACACCAGCAUCGGUUGUCAAGCAAUGCUAGGGGGACAAACACAGACACAUAAACACAUACAUAUAUAUAUAUACAUAUAUAUAUACAUAUAUACGACAGGCUUCUUUCAGUUUCCGUCUACCAAAUCCACUCACAAGGCAUUUGUCGGCCCGGGGCUAUAGCAGAAGACACUUGCCCAAGGUGCCACGCAGUGGGACUGAACCCGGAACCAUGUGGUUGGUUAGCAAGCUACUUACCACACAGCCACUCCUGCGCCUAUAUAUAUAUAUAUACACACAUUUAUCAGUUUUGCUACACUGUUAUUAUUGAGAGCCUCCUCUUGCAUGUGACAUUUGGUGAAUAACAAAGUUUGAUGUCGUUACCCUGAUUUGAAUCUCUUGCUGCGAGGUAGGUUCAUCUGGGACUCUCGAGAAGAAGAGAUUCAGUUUUGAUUUGAAAACACCUACAUCCACUUUCUGUAGGUCCCUCAGGUUCUUUAGGAGAGUAUUUAAAAGCUUUGGGCCCCUGAAACCCAUGUUGCUUCAGUAACUGAUCCUGAAGCGUGAUGACAUUGCUGGGAUCUUUGGUACAGUGCAGUGGUGACCCGUUGUGGCAUAUUGUUUAGCUCUCAAUGCCAAAAUUUGACACAAUGCCUUCCAUGACCUUCCAGAUGCAUAUUACUGCAUAUCUCUCCCGCCUUCGCUCCAAGGAGUAGAGUCGUAGCUGUUUCCGCCUAUCCCAGUUACUGAGCUGUUGUGAUUAGACGAUCUUCCUUGUGGAGCUUCGGUGGAUUUCAAGGUCCGCAGUUAAUUUUACAUUAUGAGGAGACCAUAGCUGGGAGCAGUAGUCCAGUCUGUUGAGAACGAAUGUCCUCCAGAGGACCAUCAUGGCUUCCUUCUCUCUGGUUCUGAAGGUUCUCAGGAUCCAGUCAGCCAGCCAGUCGUCUGCACCUUGUCGCCAUCCUGGUAAUGUGCACGUGGGAAGAGGUAUCAUCACUCAUGUCGAUACCCAGGUCUCGCACUGAUUUAAGCUCUGGGAUUGUAAUCCUCUGUAGGCCAGUGUACCCUGUAAGUUUUAUCUUCAGCUUUGGGCGCUGGUAGCUUGGAAUUUUCCAGCAUUAAACUGCAUAUUAUUGUCCUCAGCCCAUGUAUAAAUUGAGUCCAACUCCGAUUGCAAGUGUGCAAUAUUACUGGGGUUCUGUAUUUUCUGCGGGCAGGUGAGGGCAUAUCUGAGCGGGCCACUAUAAAAAGCAGUUGUCCCAAGACAGCGCCGUGUGUAACACCACUCACUACUUGAGUUUCUUGGAGGUGGCUCCAUUGGCCACUACUGCCUGACUUCUAUCUUUCAGAAAGUCACGUAACCACUCUCCAAGUUUUCCAGCUAUGCCGAGAUCACGCAGGUUGUGGCAUAUCAUACCAUGAUCUACUUUAUCAAAAGCUUUUUACGUCUAAUUUGAAUUGUUGAGUAACGCCCUGUCAUAGUGCUGUAAGAGCUGGAUCAGGCAGCUCCUACUUGGUCGAAAGCCGUGUUGGGUAUCACUCAGCAAGGCACUUUAUUCAAGGAAUGCGAUUAGUUUCCCUCUGACUAUCCGUUCCAUGACUUUGCUGAUGUGGAAAGUCAGAGAAAUAAGCCUAUAAUUUUUGGCAUCUUCUCUGCUUCCCCCUUUAUGGAUUGGGCAUAUCAUUCCCUCCUUCAGCUUGCUUGGCAGCCUGCCAUUUGCAAGAAAGCACUGGAAGAGAAUCUGUAGUUGAGUUUGCGCCCACUUCCUCUAUGGCUAGUAGUAUAUCUUCUUCACUAAUGUCGAUGUAAUCCAUUGUAACUGCCUCGCUGGUUAUAGGUGAGGCGGCAAAGAAAUCCACCGGUUCAUUCGCUUGUCUGUGCUUUAUACACACACACGCACACAUAUGUAUGUAUGUAUAUAUAUAUAUAUAUAUAUAUAUAUAUAUAUAUAAAUAGAGAGAGAGAGAGACAGACAAGCAGACAGAGAGAGACAGAGAGUGAGAGAGAGAGAUUUGUUUAUACAGAUGUAUGUAUAUACAUCUACGUGUGCAUAUAUAUAUAUAUAUAUAUAUAUAUAUAUAUGUAUAUAUAUGUAAAUAUACAUACACAUACAUAUAUAUAUGCACGCAGAUAUAUAUAUGCAUACAUAUAUAUAUAUAUAUAUAUGUAUGCAUAUAUAUAUGUAUAUAUAUAUAUAUAUAUAUAUAUAUAUAUAUAUAUAUAUAUAUAUAUAUAUAUAAUAUAUAUAUAUGCAUAUGUAUAUGAAAAAGUGCAUAAACAAACGACAUUUUUACUGAAUGUAAAAACAAACGGGAGACAAACUGAAAGUCCAUAAUUCUUCAUCAGUUAUCAACCAAUGAUACUGUUCCGUUUCGAACCUUUAAAGAAAAGAGUGAGUGCUUCCCAAUAGGCGUUGCCCGCAAAAAAAGUUUACUUGCGUAGAAUUAGAAACAAGAGCAAACAAAACGAAACAAACAAGCAAAACGACACAGAGUGUGAUCUAGGACGAUGGAAGGGGGGCAAACAGCCGGACAAAAUAUGGCCUAGGGACCAAAAUGACGAGAAUAGUGGGUAACGCUUAGAAAAUGUUUUGAAUGUUGGAGAACAGAGAGACAGAAUUUGUGACUAGUCAGCUGAGGGUCAAAUCCAAGAAAGGAAGAAAAAGAAGAACUGACCGCUGGUCAAGUAACAGCAGCACACAAAGGAGAAAGACAGCAGGGAGAGGGAACGACAGUAUAAAGAAGGGGGGAGUGGAUGAAGGCGAAGGAGAAAGGCUAGGAAUACAGGAAUGAGACAGGCUAGGAAUAGAAGAGGGAGAGAUAGAACGAGAGCAAGUAGCAAGUCUAGAAUAGAAGAGACAGGGUGAGAGAAUUUGCGACUGGUCAGCUCAGGGACCAGUCUAAGAAAGGAAGUAAAAGAGGAACUGACCGCUGGUCACGUAACAGCAGCCGGCAGAGAAAGACAGCAAGGAAAGGGAAUGACAGAGAAGAGUUAUGAACUUUCUGUUUGUCUCCCGUUUGUUUUUACAUUCAGUAAAAAUGUCAUUUGUUUAUAAAUUUUUUUCAUUUAUCAAGUAAUGAAACGCAACGCACACCGAAUUUGUAUUAUCAAGUAUUAUAUAUAUAUAUAUAUAUAUAUAUAUAUAUAUAUAUAUAUAUAUAUAUAUAUAUAUACAUAUGUAUGUAUGCAUGCAAAUAUGUACAUACAUAUAAAUACAUAUACACAUAUAUCCAUAGAGAUACAUACAUACACACAAAUAUAUAUAUAUAUACACACACACACUCUUAUGCCAUACUCUCUGCAAUGCUACACCUACUAACUGGCUCUUUACAUAUAAACUCUCACCAUACCAUCAAACUCACCACUAAAGCUCUAUGGAUGCACAAUGGGAACUACUGCCUAAAGUUAGCCCUCCUGAAAAAACUCCUCCUGAGAACGACUAUAUUACCCUACCUACAACUGGAUGAAAUAACAUGGAUUUUAUAAUAUAUUACGGGAAGUAUGCACUUUAUUUCCCCCUUGAUAUGCCCUCAUCACUGUACUAUGAUGGACUCCACUUCUAUUCUCGUGUUUGCUCUUACUCUUAUUCUUAUUCUACUCUAUUUAAAAGGACAAGCACACCUUAGCUAUUCUCAACUGAUUUUUAUGUGUUACCCCACCCCCAACCAUUUAGACCCUCUGAAGAAGCCUUGUCUGUUCAUCCCUGCAUAACACUGAAGAGAUGGAGAUAACCUGGAAUAUUUCGUUGCGUCUUGGCAGAAACGGCCGUAUGGAACUACUAUCUGCGCACCCAUUCGGUUUAUUUUGCCAAUUUGCUCAUUUGUUCAAUUGGUCAUUUGUUUCUAUAAGCUUAUAUGUAUUCACAACCUUGUUUAUGCAGUUACCAGCUUUUUCCACACGAGAACCUGUACCACCCAUACAUGUGUGUGUGUGUAUUCAUCCAAUAUAUUUGAAUAAAUAGAUAUACAGGAAUGUUUACUGGCUGAUGUCUGUCGAUUUUAUAUCCUGCCCGUUUUCUUAUUUUCUGUAUAAAUCAAGGGUAAACUACUUUUUACCCCCGCCCAUAUAUAAUACUCAAUUGCGAGAUUUCCAUGCAAUAACUAACACUUAGCUAUGAAUAAUUGGAUUCACUACCAGCAGUAUAUUGGAUAGGUACUAUCCCUUAGUUGGUUUCUCAACCUCUAACUCAUACACAAAUAAAUAUAUACACAUAUAUAUAUAUAUAUAUAUAUAUAUAUAUAUAUAUAUAUAUAUAUAUAUAUAUAUAUAUAUAUAUAUAUAUAUAUAUAUAUAUAUAUAUAUAUAUAUAUAUAUAUACAUACAUAUAUAUAUAUAUAUACAUAUAUAUUUAUGUGUUUGUAUAUAUGUAUGUAUAUAUAUGUAUAUAUAUAUAUAUAUAUAUAUAUAUAUAUAUAUAUACAUACAUAUAUAUAUAUAUAUAUAUAUAUAUAUAUAUAUAUAUAUAUAUAUAUAUAUAUAUAUAUAUCAUAUAUAUUCAUACAUCCAUAUAUAUAUGAUUGUGUCAAUCUGAAUAUCAUUACCAUAAUUAUAUGUUUAUAAAUCAGUGUCUGAACGCCUGUGUGUCUGACUAAGUGUCUGUCUGCAUGCCGUGCUAUCUUACAACACUCCUUCUCCACCUCGUCGGUCUCAUCGCAAUCUAGUUAAUAUUUCUUACUAACCUAAUAUCUAAUGAUGAGAAAAACUGAGUUGUGUCACUUGAAUACUUUUUGUUUUGUUUUUCUGUGUGUGAUAUUCAUUUUUUCAUUGUUUCUUGACAUUGUUAUUUAUGUUUAUAUAUAUAUAUAUAUAUAUAUAUAUAUAUAUAUAUAUACAUGUACAUGUAUGUAAGUGUAUAUAUAUAUAUAUAUAUAUAUAUAUACAUGUGUUGAUAUGUAUAUGUAUAUAUAUAUAUAUAUAUAUGUAUGUAUAUGUAUACAUAUGUGUGUAUUUGUAUGUAGGUAUCCAUGUAUAUAUAUAUUUUAUGUAUAUGUAUGUAUAUAUAUAUAUAUAUAUAUAUAGUGUGUGUGUGUAUACAUAUAUAUAUAAAUACACACACACACAUGCAUAUAUAUAUAUAUAUAUAUAUAUAUAUAUAUAUAUAUAUUUGAGUAAGUGUGAAUGCAUAUAUGUGUGUGUGUACAUAUUUAUAAGUAUAUGUGUAAUGCAGAUUCAUACAGAAAUGUGUAAAUAUAUAUAUAUACAUACAUACACACAUGCAUAUAUAUAUAUAUAUAUGCAUAUAUGUAUGAAUGUAUGUGUGUAUGUAUGUUUGUAUGUAUGCGUGUAUGCAUAAAUGUAAGUAUGUAUGUAUCUGUAAGUUAUGUUGUUGAAAUAGUAGUGUACAAUUCAUUAUAUUCGAUACGUGUAAACAAUUGUAGUCUCGACAUGACAGAAUUUUCGGACAUGAAGUUUGAGAGCAAAAGAAGAGUAGAUGAGGAAAAGAAAGAAAGUGGAGCGACGUAGAUGUGAGAGAGAGGGGGGGACCGGGGCAUUCUAACUUUUUAGAUCUCUAUUUCUUGAACUAUAAUAUAAAUAUAUAUAUACCGUUGGAUAAAAUUUUAAGACCAGUGAAAAAAGUUGUCGAAAUGUACCCCUUGCAGACCGAUGUAUUCGACUAUUUUUCAUUAGUGAUUCAUCAUAGGCAAAUAAAAAAGGAUAUACGAAAACCUAAAGAAAUUUUAAACAUUUAAUGUAGAAAACAUGCAUUCUAUGAAAACGAACAAUAUUUUGCUUGGUCAAAGGUGGUGAGCUGGCAGAAACGUUAGCAUUCCGGCUGAAAUGCCUAGCGGUAUUUCGUCUGUUUUUUACGUUCUGAAUUCAAAUUCUGCCGAGAUUGACUUUGCUUUUCAUACUUUCGAGGUCGAUAAAUUAAGUACCACUUGCGUACUUGUUCGAUCUAAUCGAUUUGUCCCCUCCCCCAAAACUGCGGGCCUUGUGCCUAGAGUUGAAAAGGAUAUUUUGCUUGGUCAAAAGUUUAUGACCAUGACGAAUUAUAAGUUUAAAUCUGGUGUAAACUAUAAAAAUUCUGGCAUUUAUUUUCAAGCCAUCUUUGUUCCAACAAGUGCUGGUCACUCCCUAUUUCACAGCAGCAACAAUGGGCAAUGUUAAAAUAUUGACGGAAUUUGAACGUGAUAGAAUUGUAGAGCUCCAGAAGCAAGGUCUUUCUCAACGUACCAUCUCCAGUGAAAUUGCUCGCAGUAAAACUGCUAUUGCAAACUUCUUAAAAGACCUUGACGCAUAUGGAUCGAAAAAAUCGACCAGACCUGGGACGUUAACAACUAGAAAGUUUUAUUCUCACAUGAGAAGAAAUUCAUUUUGAUAGUCCUGAUGGUUUUCAACGAUAUGGUCAUGCAAAAUAUAUUUUACCGGAAACCUUUUCAAGGAGGGACAGUAGUGGAAGCUUUAUCAUGGUGUGGGAUGCUUUCUCAUACAGAGGAACUAUGGAACUUUAGGUUGUGCAGGGGCAUCAAACAAGAGCUAGCUAUGUUGACAUGUUGGAACGGGAAUCACUCUUGAUUGAGGUCCCUCGUUUGCGUGGAAAAGACUGGAUUUAUCAAUAGGAUAAUGCUACAAUCCAUAAUGCUCGCAGGCCAAAGGAUUUCUUCAGGACAAAUAACGUUCAUCUUUUGAAUCAUCCUCCAUGUUUUCCUGACCUAAACCCCAUCGAAAUUCUUUGGGGAUGGAUGGCAAGAGACGUUUACAAAAAUGGAACGCAAAACGAGACUGUAGAUGUUCUUCGCCAGGCUUGCAUUCAAAUCGUGGCGUAGUAUUCAGGACAAUUGGUAGAGGUAGUAACUGUUCAGCCCACUUGUUUACUACCUAUUCAUUGUUUUUGUUUGUUAUUUGUCAUAGUCUUAAACUUUUGACCAGGCAAAAUAUUGUUAGUUUUCAUACAAUGCAUAUUUUGAGUAUUAAAUGUUAGACAUUUCUGUAUGUUUUCGUACAUUUUAUUCUAUUUGCAACUUACGAAUCUAUAAUGAAAAAUAGUCGAAUAUAUUGGUCUGCAAGGAGUUCAUCUCGGCAGUUUUUUCACAGGUCUUAAGAUUUUGUCAAGCAGUGUGUGUGUGUGUGUAUGUUUGUGUGUGCGCGUGCGCCUAUGCGUGCGUGCGUGCGUGUGUGUUUGUGUGUGUGUGUCUGUGUGUGUUGUAUUAGUUGCAGCCAUGAUGUUUACCAGAACGAGACGUUAUGCACUCACUUUAAUACAAUACCUGGAUUAAAUAUAGUCAUCAAAAUAAAAAUUCUUUGAAAACAUUACCAUUCUACAUACAGUUGUGCAAAAUUAAACUAGAAUAUUAACGAAAUAAUCUUUAUUAACAGCAAAGUACGAACUAAGUACUAAUACAUACAGUCAUAGUAAUUAUUAGAUAAUGAACGUUAACAAGUUUUGGACUUACAUUUUAAAUUUGGUGAUGACUUUAUCUGUUACAACAAUAUUCCAAUAGCUUUUCCGGCUUACUAGAAGACGAGGUACCAACACGCCAUAGGCAAUAAUUCAUUCUAAUGACGAGGCACAUAAUGACUUGAAACUUUAAUAGACUUAACCAUAUCGUUUCAAACUAAACAAAAAAAAAUUAAAACGGGUAAUAAUAUAAGAAAGAGUCAACUUAAACAGGGAUUAAAUUUAUCGAAUUAUAAAGUAGAUAUAAAAAAUUUUUGAGGGAGCUUCUACAUCGUCUUUUGACUAGGAAGAAAUAACAGCUAAAUCUCCCUCUAAUCAUAGCUUGGCGUCUUAAAAGAGGACAUACUGGAUAAUGUCGUAUGAAUUCCCCACGCAUAAGAAGAGGGCAUGGUCAUGGCUGGAAUACUUUCGAUCAUAGAGCUUCAGGACUAGGGUUGCAGGGCUAGGGCUGCAGGGCUAGGGCUGCAGGGUUUGGGCUGCAGGGUUUCACCACCACCACCCACAGAGACAAGGACUUUGGAAUUGAAACUUGCACUGCUUACAUAUACACCUAAAUAUAGAUGUUGUUGUAAUUAUUGAACUACUUGUUGAACCCUAGAUUGUUCCUGAUACCGCAGAUCCCCAACGAUCAAAACACGUUGCAUCCAAGAUUCUAUCGUUGCUCUUUUAGAGUUGGUGUAUUUAGGAAUACAUUAUCCAAUGUGUCCUUGCAUUGUUGAUUUAAGAUAAAAUAAGUACUGUUUGGAGACCUAGGAAUUCUAACAACAGAUAUCCGGUUUCCAUAGCGUAUAAGUGACUAAGAUCGCAAUAUUCCCUCUAGAAAGGACGCUAGUCCGUUGCAGGUUUACUUAUAUACUGGUAAGUGGACUGGAGCUUUGUAUUUUUCUUUCAAAAACACAACGCACUGCCUGAUCCGGGAAACGAAACCACGUUCUUGCGAUCGUGAGUGCAGUACCCUAACGACUAGAACACUUGUUUUAAGAUAUCAGGAUGUUAUUUGUAGAAGAAUUGAUUGCUGUAGAGAGAAUUCCAAAGCCAGCAUUGCUGUGGAAUAAAUCUUCUGCCCUAACAAUGGUACCAUUUUAUUCUAUUAUUGAACAACAAAGAACGCCACAGUGAACUAAGAACUCCCCUUCCUUGGACAAAAUCUCAAGCACCGUCCUACUCUGAACACAGGUUGGUGACACUAUAGUCUCCAACGACUGCAGGGUGUCACAAUAAAUUAAACACAAUCUCUCUGUACAGAAAGAAAAUAGUGCUGCGCCUUUCGAAAUGAAAUAACGAUAUUUUUUUUACUAUUGAGAGAAAAAUGGUUGCAAUUGAGAAACUUUAUAUCAAAUGUCUUUCUGUGUCGUGUUCAAUAACUGGUUCUUAUAUAUUCACUUCCAAUCGGUGUCAAUUUCAACCGGUGUCGAUUUCGGUUGUAAAUUGUGAUCGAUUCCAUUGUCUACGAACGUCAUGAGUAAAACUGAAAGAAUUUACAAGAUCGGUAGAAAAAGUAUUACUUCACGACCGUCUGUCCUUCAGUUGUUAUCCGCCGGAAUUAAGUUUGAGUUCUGUACUUAUGUGAACGUUAGAACAAAUACCAGUUAUUAAAUGUUUCUAAAUACGUUAGAUGAUUUAACGUUGGUAUUGCUACUAAUGUUGUUAAUAAAGAUAUGAUUUAGAGGAGACCAUUAACUUCAGUUCUGGAUACGAGAUUAAUAAUGGCUCCAAAUUUUGGGGGACAAGUCCAGUAAUUUUAAGCGAGAGGCCAAGACGAUUAUAUCGACUCCAGUGUUUAAUGGAUGCUUAUUUUGUCGACCCCCUAAAGGAUAAAAAGGCAAAUAUGGCUUCAGGGAAAUUUUAACUCAGAACCUUAAGAGUCGGAAGAAAUAUCGUUUAAUAUUUUGUUCCAUGCGCUAAAACAAUUCUGCCAGCUCACCGCCUUAGAUAUGUGAUUAUAAAUGGUUUCAAAUUUUGGCGCAAGGACAACAAUUUCAUGGGAGUGGGGAAAUUGAUAACAUCCAGUGCACGAUUAGUACUUACUUUAUCGACACCGAAAGAAUGGAAAGCAAAGUCUAUCUCGGCAUGAUUUGAUCUCAGAAAGACGAAGGAGAUGCCUCUAAGCAUUUUGUCCAGCGUGCUAACGAUUUUGUCUGCUCGCGCCCUAGAUAUGUGAUUAAUAAUCCGAAGGAAGCGAGCUGGCUUAAAUACAUUGCAGUACUUCUCCCAGUUCUCUGUACACUGUAUUCAAACCCCGCCGAGGUCAAUCUUGCUUUUCGUCUUUCGAAGUUUAAUAAAGUACCAAGGCGUUUUCCUCUCUGGAAGAAAUCAGCAAUAUUCAGUUGUGGCCCCUCCAGGCUGAAAAUACCCACAAGACACGCCGUCUGUCCCCACGGUACACAAUCAGGAUUUGAAGUCCUAAGGAACGAAGGAAUUUUAUAAAGAACCAACCAGUAAUAUGUUGGAGAGUUCUGUGAUUAUUAUACCCCAAAUCACGCUUUGAUAAAUUUGUCUUAUGCCAAUAUGAAAGAAAUAUAAUUUUAUUCCUGUCGGCUGUUUCCAACGAAUCACAAAAUUUAUUGUUUGAUUUUUUUGUUUUUGUUUGAUUUUUUUAGCGGAUAUCACGAAUUUCUUUCCCGCUAUGCAUCAUUUUGUUACGUUUUUGCCGUCUUUUUUUUUCUUGGAUAUAUUCUAGAUGUUUCCUAGUGAAGUGUAUGUUUGUGUAAGUUUAUUCACUCACACACAACCACAUACGUACACUGGAAGAUAAAAGAAGCUAUAUUACUAAAUAUAUACACGUAUAUAUAUAUAUAUGUACAUACGCGCAUACAUAGCAACAUUAUUGUAUGAGUGUGAGUGUAUAUAUACAUAUAUAUUAUACAUACACCCAUGCAUACAUAUAUAUAUAUGUAUGUAUCUGUGUGCUAUAUAUAUAUAUAUAUAUAUAUAUAUAUAUAUACACGUGUGUGUAUAUCUAUGAUAUGUUCGUAUGUAUAGGUUUGUUUUGUAUUGUUCGCUUAGUUUUUUUCGUACGUCUGUUCCUGUCUUUACGCUCUUGGAGUAAGGGAGAAGCGUGCAUGUAUAUAUGAGCGUAAUGUUUUUAUAAUCGCAUAUAUAAAUUACACAUAGUCGCAGUAUGUGUAUAUAUAUAUAUUAUAUAUAUGCAUACAAGUAUACAUAUACACACACAUAUAUAUAUAUAUGUGUGUUAUAUGUACAUACAUAUAUAUGUGUGUAUGUAUAUAUAUAUAUAUACAUACACACAUAUAUAUAUAUAUAUAUAUAUAUAUAUAUAUACACACACUCACACCACACACACAUUGUUUUUGUCCGCAGUAGUUCUUGCAUUACCUUGUUCCAAAGAAGUAUUAUUUCACCAAUCUACUUAUUUUGCUUCUAAUAUCCUGUUGUUCUUAUCGAUGGCGUUUUUGUUGUUGUUUUUGUUGCUGCUGCUGCUGCUGCUGUUGUUGUUGUUUUUUAUUGUUCUUACUACUCUUAUUUUUGUUGUUACUGUUCUUGUUGCCAGUGGCGGUGGUGAUGGUGGUGGCGGCUGUGUUUGUGGUGGGACAGCCUUUGCAGGAAAUGUUGUCUAGUUUUGUUUUUGAGCAGCUGAUGGAGCUGUUGUUUUUGCUGUCGUUCUUGUAGUUGUAGUCAUUGCUUGCGGUUGUUGUUAUUGGUGGUGAUGCUGCUGCUGAUGCCGCUGCUGUCUUUGUUGUUACUCGUUUAUUUGUUUUAUUGUUUUUCUUGGAGUUUUCGUUAGUGCUUCUUUUGUUCUGUAUAUAUUGGAUGAGGUUAAUGAUGUUGUUGCUGUUGCUGCUGCUUCUAAUAUUGCCGUUGCUGUUAUUAUUAUUAUUAUUAUUAUUAUUAUUAUUAUUAUUAUUAUUAUUAUUAUUAUUAUCAUCACCAUCAUCAUCAGCAUCAUCAUCAUCAAAGAGACGAAGUGACAAAAUCGUUAGGACGCCGAGCUGAAUGCUUAGCGGUACUUCGUCUGUCUUUAUGGUUUGAGUUCAAAUUUCGCCGAGGUCAACUUUGCCUUUCAUCCUUUCGGGGUCGAUAAAUUAAGUACCAGUUAGGUAUUGGGGUCGAUGUAAUCGGCCAGUCUCCUCCCUCCCAAUUUACAGGCCAUGUGCCUUUAGUAGAAAGGAUUAUUAUUAUUAUUAAUAUUAUUGUUGUUGUUGUUGUCUUCGUCAUUAUCGCCAUCAUUACUAUCAUCAUCGUCAUCAUCAUUAUCAUCUUCACGGAGACGAGCUGGCUCAUUUGUUAGCACGCCGAGGAAAAUGCUCAGCGGCAUUUCACCCGUCUUUACGCUGUCAGUUCAAGUUCCGCCGAGGUCGAUUUUGCCUUUCAUCCUCUCUUGGCCGAUUAACUAAGUACCAGAUGAGCACUCGGGUUGACGUAAUCGACUUAGUCUUUACCCCGAAAUUACUAGCCUUGUUCCAAAAUGUGAAACGCUUGUUGUUGUUAACGCAGUAAGCUGGCAGAAUCGUUAGAGAUUCGGACAAAAUGCUCAGCGGCAUGUCUUCCUACUUUUUGUGUAGUGAGUCCAAAUUCUGCCGUGAUGGACAUUGCCUUUCAUCCUUUCGAGGUCGAUAAAAUAAAGUACCAGUUACGUACUGGGGUCGAUGCAAGUGACUAUUUCACUCUCCUCAUAAUUGUUUGCGUUGUGGUUAAAAACAAUAAAACCGUUAUUGUUUCUAUUGUGAAUACGUUGCUUUUUGAGAAACGGAAGCGUCAACUUCCGUCUCACUAGGCUGAGAGUUCAGAUCCCGAUAGGGGUAGAAUUUGCCUUUCGCGUCUUCAGUGUUGAUAAUACAUGUACCAGUCAUAACUGAGGUCAAUUUAGCCCCUAUAAUUUCAUGGGGGGAUGAUGUUUUAAGAAAACCUUCUAUUGUUGUUGCAGCUGCUGUUGUUUAGCUUCAGGCCAGUCCCGAUAGGACAGGCCUGUAUUAAAAUGUAUUCCUGCCGUGACAAUCAGAAGUUUAAGACUAGAUUAUUGUUGUUCUUGUUUUUCCAACUGUUUUCCUAUAUCAAUCCUGAUAGAGCUGACUAAUACACAAAGAAAAUCCAGAUGUAACAGUCCUGUUGUUUUUGAUAUGGAAUGUAACAAGAAUUACAUGUGUGUUUCUUUUUAAGAUGGCAGUGUGUGAUUGGAGUAAGAAUCGAUUGCUAUUUCUCGCACGUCAAACAUCCACUCACAACGUCAUGAUAUUGCAGCUGAUGCUCUUAAUACUGUACUGCUAUGUAGUUGUUGAUGUCGCUAUUUAGCCCUAGGUCAUCCUUAACUGAGCAGAGCAAAGCUCAAUGAUGUUACAACUGGGAUCACUUCGCCCUUUUAAUCAGAUAUAUCACAUUCAGGGUCGAGGGCCGAAUUUUUAAUUCAGUAUUAUGUGAUUUGAGAGAAAUGAACCAUAUUUCAGGCGGCUUGCUCCUCGAAAAAGGUUGUCAUUGCCAGAUCUAGAGGCUCUUAUUGGUUCUGGUAUGGCUCUUUUUUUUGUUGAUGUUGUGUAACCGAGAUGAUUUCUAAGUGAGCAAACCUACGACUCAAACCACCUCUUCCAUAUUAAAUUCAACUUACGUCGAAAGUCAACAAAUAAAACGUCGAGAUAAUGUUAAUAAUAUAGCACGAACAGGAUAAACUAACCAUACUUUGCAGAAAAAUCUGUCGGCGAUCAGCCAUGAGACUCGAACUCACAUCCCUGUGCUUUACCAUUAAGCUAACCUGCCCGAACGAUAAAUUCUUCUGCAAAUUUAGGGUAUAUCAUUGGCAUUAUCCUGCGUUUGAGAAUAAGAUCAUUUUCUUAUCUGUAUCUUUCAAUACAUCACAACGCUUCUAAAGCAAACUUUGUUGAGUUUCAACGUAAGUUGAAUUUAACAAGUCCUAAAUUUACAGAAUGAUUUGUCGUUCGGGCAGUUUAGCUUAACAGUAAAGCACUUGACGCGUAAUUACAUGUGAGUUCGAGUCUCAUGACUGGCUACCGACAGAUUCCUCUGCAAAAUAUGGAUAGUUUAUCCUGUUCAUGCUAUUAUUAUAAGCAUUAUCCUGCGUUUGAAAAUAAAAAUAUUUCUUUAUCUAUACCAUGUGUUCUAUAUUUCAGGCACGUCUGUUCUGGACCGCUUUAUCUAAUACCUUUUUAAUUUUAUUUUUAAGACGACCUAGUAUAAUUUAAGGUGGUGACAUUGGCUGUUAUUUCUAGCAUAUUAACUAACAAUCAAGAGGCUCUCUCUUCAGUUGUUUAUCUUGUUUAUAUUGCCUCAGACGUUAUUGCAUUUUAUAUUUUUAUUUUAGCAGUUAUUGCUGUUAGUUGUUGAUCUUGUAAUUGUUGUUGGUUUUGCUAUGUCUGUUUCCCCGAGGGAACCCCACCUCCGCUUUUACAAUUGUAUUCAUUAUUACUGUUAUUGCUAUUAAGGGUAUUUAUGACAGCGGUGGGAACAGUACUAUAUUUCCAUGAUUAUUCUUGUAGUCCUUCGUAGAGUUUGUUUUGUUGUUUAUGUUUACUUCUUUUUCACGCUAACUGUUCUAAUACAACCCAUACUUGCUACUGUCACUUUCAUUUGAACCCGUGUGUCUAAUAAAAGAAAUUAUUAUUAUUAUUGUUGUUGUUACAAAGGCGGUGAGCUGGCAGAAUAAUAAGCACGCCGGGUAAAAUGCUUAGCGGUAUUUCGUUCUUUACGUUCUGAGUUUAAAUUCUACUGAGUUCAACUUUGCCUUUCAUUCUUUCGAUUUAAUAGACUUGUACUCUCCCCCUAAAUUUCAGGCAUUGUGCCUUUAGUAGAAAGGAUUAUUAUUCUUAUUGUCACUAUUAUUAUUAUUAUUAUUAUCAUUAUUAUUAUUAUUAUUAUUAUUAUUAUUAUUAUUAUUAUUAUUAUUACAAAGGCAGCGAGCUGGCAGAAUUGUUAGCACGCUGGACGGAAUGCUUAGCGGUAUUUCGCCCGAAGCUACAUUCAGAUUUCAAAUUCCACUGAGGUCGACUUUACCUUUCAUCCUUUCGGGAUCGAUAAAUUAAGUAUCAAUGAAACAUCGACUUAAUCCUCUUCCGUAAGCUACCCUUGGAUCAAAAAUUUGAAAUCAUCAUCAUCAUCAUCAACAUCAUCAUCAUCAUCAUCAUCAUCAUCAUCAUCAUUAUUAUUAUUAUUAUUAUUAUUAUUAUUAUUAUUAUUAUUAUUAUUAUUAUUAUUAUUGUUGUUGUUGUUGUUGUUGUUGUUAUUAUUGUUAUUAGCAUUAUUACAAAGGCAGCGAGCUGACAGAAUUGUUAGUACGCCGGGCAACAUGCUUAGCGGUGUUUCGCCCGAGUUUACGUUUUGAGUUCAAAUUCCGCCGAGGUCGACUUUACCCGCAUCCCAUCUGGAAAAAUUCUUUUAGAGGUCGUGUGCUAUAUGAAGGACCAUUGGAUCUCGUACGUAUUAAUAUUAUCACCCUCAGAACUAUAUUUUACAUCAUUUUCAUUAAUUUUAUUUAAUAUAAAGUAAUUCCUAACAUCAAUAAAUAUGCGAAUAAUCAUUCUAGAUCUCGCGAUACGUGGUGUUAUUAACGACAUUUUAUCAGUUGGCAGAUAUAAUCAUUGGUCAACAACCAAUUUGUUCGCUGUAAAUAUAAGCAAAACCAGCAGCUUCGUUUAGGCUCGGAGUUCCGGAUAAUUCUGGGUGAUGUGACAUAUUGAAACCGGUGUCCAAGAAUUCCGUACGCCAGAAGUUAUUCUCCUAUGACUUACACUACAGCAAUUAGCAUAUUUCGUAUCCGAACCUGCUUAGACGUGCUAAGAAUAAUAUGCAAAUAAUCGUCCCAGAUCUUGCUGUACUCGGAACAAAUAACAAUCUUUGAUUAUUUCCCGAGAAUAAUUCGUGAAUUUUUGUCUUGGCUCCGUUUACCCAUGUUUAGUACAAAAUCCUGUUUAAAUUAUGCGUGAAGUAGACGCGUGAAUUUAUUUCAGUUAAUAUGACAUUUAUCUUUCUUUAGCGACUUUCAUUUUGUUGAAGAAAUUAUAUGACUGAAAGGAAACAUAAGGGUAAACAGGUAACGGGGAAAGAGUUGAAGAUUUGAUAGGAAAAUAAGAAAACGAGGGAAACGUGUUCGUAAAGAAUGAAUAGGUAAGGAUAAAAACGACGAAAUGAACAACUGCAACAAUGAAAGUUAAGAUCUCGAAUGAAGGGAUUGAAUGAAGGGAACACAAAAAUUGUUCCUUGUCCUCCACUUCUACCAAAAAACAAACGAAAUCGAAAAGGAAAAUUUUAAAAGCAGAUUAAUGAAAACAGAAAGCAGACGAAAGAAAGUUUCAAUAGAAAGAAGAAUGGAAGAUGAAAUAAUGAAGAGAAAUUCAGUGAAUGUUAUGAGGGAAUAUUUUGAAUUGACUACCACUAUAAUUUAUACUUUUGUUACUGCGUAUCAUCAUCAUCAUCAUCAUCCCUUCAUCAAUACUACCACCACCAUCACCAUGACCAUCACUGCCAACAAUGCCAGCACCGUUACUAUUACUCCAGCCAGCACUACAAAUAGCAUCACCAGCACAACCACUACCGCAUUCAUCACCACCACCACCACCUCUACUAACAGUACUACCGCAUCUACCACCACACUGAUAUCAUCAUUACAUCAAGUAACAACAGCUGUAGUGAAGUUUCCAGGAGCGGCGUCUCAUUAACAUUAGCGUGUGCAUUUUUUCGUUUAUUUAAAGAUGGUGGAAAAGGUUGAUAUUUAUUCGUGUAUGCGCGAGUGUAUGAGUGUGUGUAUGUGUGUGUGUGUGUGUGUGUGUGUGCGUGAGUGUGCGUGUGUGUGCGAGCGCACGUGUGUGUAUGUUUGUGUGUCUGUCGGGAAUAAAGCGAGAAAUUAUUUUUGGUGUUUUCGUUCAAUAUAUACAUACACAAUCAAAUAUACAUACGUUUGUAUGUAUUUGUUUGUACACACACACACACACACGUGUGUGUGUGUGUGGGUGUGUUUAUAUGCGUGAGUUGUGUGUGUGUAUUCAUACAUAUAUGCAUGCAUGCAUACGUGCAUACAUGCAGACGCAGAUACAUACACACAUACAUACAUACAGCAAUACAUAUACGUGUGUGUGUGCAUGGUUGCAUGUAUUAUGUAUUUAUGUAUAGUAUUUGACGAAAACAUCAUCAAUAAUAAAUCAUAAUGAUAUAUAUAUAUAUAUAUAUAUAUAUAUAUAUAUACGCAUAUAUAUACAUAUAUAUAUAAUGGAUGUAUUUAACGAAAACACCAUUAAUAAUAAAUUAAAUACUUUUAAGUAAAUAUACAUGAAUACAUAUAUAUACAUACAUACAUAUAUGUAUGUAUGUAUAUAUAUAUAUAUAUAUAUAUAUAUAUAUAUAUAUAUAUAUAUAUAUAUAUAUAUACAUUCUUAUAUAUCUGUCUAUUUAACUACAUCUAUAUGAUAGAUUCCCCCAUCGGUUUCGAUGUAUGAGGCUCCGACAAAGUACUCUUUCUUUGUCAGUCAUAAUGCUUAUGUCGAAUGUGACAUUUAAGUCCCGCCAAUGAUUUGCAAAAAACCCACAUAUCCUGCAAAUAUGAUGAUUACCUGUCAGUGUUGGUGGUAUAUUUACAGCUGCUUUUCUCCUUUGCCUUGCAUCCUGAAGCCUGUUAAUGCUGGUUGCAACUAAGUUUCUAAUACUAUUUUGACACAACAAUCUCCAUUUUAUUCGCCCCAAGGCUGUUUGCUCAAAGGUGUUGUGAGCUAUCUUCAUUUCUAUGAGGUUACUCUUUAGCUUGUCCUUAUAUCUGGUCGACCAAUAUUCCUGUUCCCACUCAUAGGCUGGCUGUACAUGAGGACUUUGAGUAUUCUUUCGUCACUCAUUCUGACAACAUGGCCGGACCAGCGCCAUUGUGGUUGCAUAAGGAAGCUCUUGAUUCCACCAAUCUUACUCUUGCUAAACAAUUCGGCACUAGAAUCUCUGUCUUUUUGUGAAUAACCGCAGAUUGUCCUCAGACAGUCUUCGUGGAAGAUGUCUAGUUGGUUAAUGUGUCAUCUAUAUGGCAUCUACAAUUCUGAGCCAUACAAGAGAAUAGUAAGAAUGGUAGCUUUAUAGAACUGUACUUUGGUGUCAAGUUUGAUGCCCCUUUCAUUCCAUAGGCGAUGACAGAGUUUGCCAAAUGCGUUGGUUGCCUUUGCAAGACGAUUGACGAUUUCAUCAUCAAGGGAGUGCUCGAAUUCACUUCACUACCAAGAUAUGUAAAUUACUUCACAUAAUUUAGGUUUUUUCCAUCAACCUGUAUAGGAGUGUAAGGAAAAUUGUGAACCGGUGGCCUCUGUUUGACUCAUCGAAUUUGGUGAGGUAUAGGGCAAGAUUGGUGGAUUAACUCCGUCUUCUUUAUGCUGGUGGUCAAAUCAAAGGUAGCAGAAAACCGAUCUAGAAGCUCCUGAGCUUCCUCUAAGAAAGUCGCUACAAGUGCCGCAUCAUCUGCAAAAAAUAGAUCACGAAUGAUACUGGUGCGCACGAAUGAUACUGGUAUGAGACCGAGUGCUGCCAUCUCUAGCCAGCUGGAAAAGAUAUUUUCCUGGGGUUAUAAAAGGUAGUAACACCGCCUCAAUCAGGACUGCCGCUUUAAGUUGGAAAUAGACUUUACUCUCUCUCUCUCUCUCUCUCUCUCUCUCUCUCUCUCUCUCUCUCUCUCUCUCCCUCCAUAUAUAUAUAAAUAACAUAGUUGUUUUAUUCCACACCGGUAGAAAUAUAGGAAGAAUAAAAGUUGAAAAUACACUGAGAAUAGUUAAAUUUUUGUUUUCAUUUUGAAGAAUUAACUGGUUUCACAGUUUACACUGAUUUUGAAAUAUUUAAAAUAGAAAGACGUGGCUUAUGUCGUAGCUGUUUUGCUUCUGACAAGCGUGUAAAGCUUGCCCUAUUUUUAUAGGAAGUUGAUAGCUCAAAUUAGUAUAUAUUUUGAAUGGGUUUUGAUUAGUAGAGGAUAUUCACAUAACUGAUAUAAGAAAUCUUUGUAAGUUCCCCUGCUACGUCCGUGCGUUAGUAUCAAAUAACACACGGAUGUAGCAUGUAACUUACAAAUCUUUGCAAGAACCCUCCUAAGUAUCCUUGCUCUCCCCAUUAAUACUGUUUUCGGGAUUUGUACUAAACUGGGUUUUAUGCUUAUUUCCUCUAUCCAUCUGUUCACAUCUUUAGAGAUAGAUCCCAAUGCACCUAUAACUACCGGAAUAUAUUUUACCCGCACUUUCCAUAGUCUCUGUAAUUCAAUGGAUAGGUCCCGGUAUUUUGCUAUUUUUACACUACCUCUCAUAUUGAAUUUUCCUCAUUUGGGACCGUAAAGUCAACUAUCUGGCACUUUCUUUUCUUUUUAUCUACUACUACUAAAUCAGGCCUUCUAGCUCCUAUUACUCUGUCAGUUUGAAUGUUAAAAUCCCACAACAUCUUUUUAUUUAUUCAUAUUAUUUGUGUUGCUGAUUGCCAGGAGUCCCAUUGUCUAAUGAGAAUUCUCAACUUUGAUGAGAGCAAAAAACCAUUUUAAGAGUAAAUGAGACGUCUUGUUUGGUGUCGAACAUUUUUUUUGACAUCGAAUCCCCUUUUUGGAAGACAUUCUUAUUAUUUUUAUCCCUGGGUUGAUAAAUGUUGGAUUCCGUAGCUUCACAAGAGUAAUUUCGUAAUAAAGCCUUGGAAAGAACCAAAGACUAUAUUGUGAUGUUGCGAAAUUUUCAACUAUCAAACAAACCAACAAGGAAGCCCUUAUGCAUUCGCUUGAAUUGUAUAUAGCAGCCAAGUGUUUCUGAAUUGCCUUUCCUACCGUUUCAGAAAAACAAUACUUUGGAAAAUGUUUCCUCUCAAAUCCCUUAUCAGCCAUCUCGAUUGUGCUGUCAUCUAUCUCAUUUUCGUCGUCAACUUAAAUUUUCUCGACGUCAAUUUAAAUAUCGUCACUAUAUCAAGGAACGAAACUAUUAUCAGCCUCAAUUUUUUUUUUAUCUACCAUCUUGACUGUGUUGUCGUCUAUCUCAUUUUCGUUACCAGCAGCUUAAAUUCUUCUCACCGUCAGUUUAAACAUCGUCACUAUACGAAGGAGCGAAUCUUUUUUCAUCAGUAAUUAUUUGUCGUACAAUAGUGAAAGAAUGAAAAGCAUCAAAAACUUAUGAAAAGGAUUGCAAGUUUUGUAUGAUAAAAAUUGUCAUACUUAAUACUAUGGAUGCGAAAUAUAUUACUAAUAAAUAUACGUAUUUCUAAAACACAUAUUCCAUAAACAUGAAUUUAGAGUGAACCAUUCUGGUCGAAGAUCAAAUAACUCUAUUAAUAAUUCCUGCUUCUUUUUAUAUUCCACAUGGAUUUAUUUAUUUAUUUAUUUAUUCAUUUAUUUAUUUAGAAGAUACUUCGACUUCAUUUUUUGAUUUGGUUUUGAAUGGUUUGGAGUAUUUAUCAAGAAGAGUAAGGAGAAAGAAGAGGAGAACGAGAGGAGAAAAAGUAAAAGCAAAGAACAAUAAGAUGGAGAACAACAGCAACAACAAAAACAACAGCAUCGACAAGCAGGGAAGUCGGAGGAGGGAGAAGAAAAAGAAUCUUUCAGGUUGGUAAAUUUUUAAUUCUAUCACCUAUGGAGGCUAUGUCACGUAAGUCUCUCUCUAUAGUUAAAAUGUGUGUGUGUGUAUGUCUGUAUAUGAUUAUGUGUAUGUGCAUGGUAUUUGUCAAUGUGUGCAUGUGUGUGUAUGUGAAUCAAAAAGAUCGAGUCCAAUGGCGACAAAGACGUAAUCUUUGCUUGUUUCUUUUCUUUCUUUCUCUCCCUAUCGUUCUCUUUCUUCCUCUUUUUCUUUUCUUUCUCAGUCUGUUUAUCUCUCCCCCCAUAUCACACACCUAUUUCCACUUUUCCUCUGAAGAUAAAGAGGUUGUGAACAACCUGGACGGUGAGAUACUGUAUAUGUAUGCGUAUAUGUUGCCUAUGUGCGUGUUUAUGAAUAUUUGUGUAUAUGUAUGUGUAUCUGUGUAUGGGCGUAGACGUAUUUGUAUGUAUGCGUGUGUAUGUGCGUAUGUGUGUAUGAAUGUGCGCAUGUGUGUACGCGUAUUUGUGUGUAUGCAUGUACAACUGCAUAUGUGUAUGCAUGCGUUUUUGCUUGUAUAUAUAUGUUCUUAUGUGCAUAUGUGCGUGCUUGCAUGAAUAUUUGUGUAUAUAUAUAUAUAUGUGCAUGUAUGUAUGUGUGCAUGCAUGUUUGUGUGUAUAUGUGUGCAUAUGUGAGUAUGUGCGUAUUUGUGUGUAUGCAUGUGUGCAAUUAUGUAUGCGUAUUUGUGAGUAUGUAUGUAUGUAUAUAUGUAUGUAUGUAUGCAUGCAUGCAUGUAGGUAUGUAUGUGUUCAUGUGUAUUUGUGUGUAUGUAUAUGCAUGUACGUAUGUGUGUAUGUGCGUAUUUGUGUGUAUGCAUGUAUGUAUGUGUAUGCGCAUUUGUGUGUAUGGAUGGGUGUGCAUAUGUUCAAGAGUUUUAUGUGCGCACUGGAGUUUGUCCAGUGGGGAUAAUGAGGUGGCAUAUGUGUGCAUAUAUAUAUGUAUAUGUAUAUAUAUAUAUAUAUAUAUAUAGGUGUGUAUGUGUGUGUGUGUAUGUAUACGUAUGUUUUUGUAUAUAUAUAUAUAUAUAUGUGUGUGUGUGUGUGUGUGUGUGUGCAUGUGUAUGUGCGUGUAGUUAUAUAUAUAUCUGUGUGUAUAUAUAUGUGUGUGUGUUUAUAUGUGUGGAUGAUGUUUUAAUUUAUGGAGUGUUUAUAUGUCUAUUGUAUAUAGUAUAUAUAGUAUAUAUAGUAUAUAUAGUAUAUAUGUUUCAUUUUAAUAUAUAUAUAUAUAUGUAUGUAUAUAUAUAUAUAUACAUAUACGCACAAAUAUAUAAAUAUAUAUAUAUAUAUGCAUAUGUAUAUAUACAUUUAUAUGUGUGUGUGUGAAUGUAUGUAUAUGUAUCAUACGUGUGUGCAUGUAUGUAUGUGCAUCUGUGUUUGUGUGUUUAUAGUAUUUGUGUGCGACGACGAAAGUAAUAGGAUUUGUAUGUUGAUCAGUCGAAAAGAUAAAAGUUAUGUGCGAACGUGUACAUAUAUGUGACUUAAGUGUGAGAGCGUGCAUGUGUGCGCGUGUGUAUCUGUGUGUGCGUGUAUGUGUGUGUGUGUGUGUGUGUGUGUGUGUGUGUGUUUGUGCUUGUUUGUUAAUAUUUCUUAUCUGUAAACAUGGGCUAAAGACAGAGAAAGAGAAGAGAUUUAAGACAGAUAGCUUGUUUGUAUAAGUCAUAAUGAUGGACGUAUUCAUGCUCGUGUUUGAGAGAGUGAGACAUACAGACAGAGACUGACACACAAACAGACAGACAGGUUAGACACACAGGCAGACAGAGUCACAGACAGUCAGACAGUCGGGCAGACGAAAGAUAGAAAUGGUAAAACAAAUAUAGGCGAGGCUUUUGCGUGGCGUCUGUAUACGAAAAUAGGAAAACAUUCGUGUAUAUUACCGUGUUUGAGCGGAUAUAUAUGUGUGUUCCGUGUGUGUGUGUGUGUGUGUGUGUGUGUGUGUGUGUGUGUGUGUGUGUGUUUGUGCAUGUGCGUGUGCAUGUGUGUGUGUAUGUGAAUGAGCGUAUCUGUAUGCAUAGGUAUGCGUAUGUGCAUGUAUUUGUACGUAUAGUAUGCAUGUCUGUGUAUGAGAAUGCGUAUAUGUGUGUGUGUUGCAUGCUGGUGUUUGCAUGAAAGGAAGUUGAGAUACAGAUUGAGUAGAAGUGAGAGUGAAGUAAAAAGGUAAAAAAAUGAUAAAAAGAAACUCGGAAUUGGCCCAGUCACUAGACCAUCACGUAGAAAACCUCGUACCAUUGAUCUGACUCUCUGCCGUCUAAAUUCCAGUCCUGCAAAAUUCAACUUCACUGUUCAUUGUAUCGAAAAUAUUAGAAUACAGUAAUCCAGUGGGCGAAAUUUUACGAAUUUUGGAGUGGAAGGUUUUCAGAAUAUUUGUUUCAGCUCUUUGCGUUCUGAGCUCAUAUCCUGCUUUGUUUUACUUGAAAGACAAACUGUUUUAACAGCAUCACCUAGUACCUUGGGUGCUUUAGUGGACCCAGGUCUUCUGCUUUCCCACCCAACUAUCCACUCACCAGUCUAAAAGAACACGGACACUGUGUUCCCUUUUGAACAAUAGAUAAAAAUAAUAACCAUAUAAACUUGUUUAUUCGUACAUGAGUAUAGCAUAUUUAUGUGUAUUAGCAUGUAUGUGCGCAUGUGUGUAUGUAUCUCUAUAUAUGUGAGCAUAUAUUUGUGUAUUUGAGUAUGUAUGCAUGCAAGUACACUUAUAUAAAUGAAUCAAAUUAUGCUAUCAUAUAUGUAUGUAUAUUAACAGCCAUAAUAUAAGUGUCAGCAAGAACAAGUGUAUUGAAAUAUUUAUUAUAGAAGAUUAACAAAAUAUUGAAACUAGAUAUUUUACAAAUACUUAGAUAUAUCUAAUAUCUAUCUUUCAUGAAAUUUUCAAGUUAAUGGAAUAAAUAUUUCGUAAGUUAUGAGGAAAUAAACAAACAAUCUUCCAAAAUGCAACGGCUAAAAGUUAAGGGUCACUUAGAAAAAACAAUUAAAUAUGGAACAAGAACAAAAAAGAAACCCUUACUUUUAAUAUUUUAUGAACAUCCCUUUACUAUCAAUGACCUCCUGACAUUUGUUACCACAGGACUGAAUAAAUUUCUUACAAAAUGAUGGAGUAGUACUGUUCCAUUCGUUUUUCAAUAAUUCCCAGAGUUCGUCUUGGUUGUUUGGAUUUCUCGUUCGUGCCCCAUCUCCAAUAAUCUUCCAAACGUUUUCUAUAAGGUUGAGAUCGGGACUUUGAAGUGGCAAGUCCAUGAGAUAAACCCUUUCAUCACUCAAAAACAUCUUUGACUCUCUUCGCAGUGUAACAGGGAGAGUUGUCCUGCACGAAGAGAGGAGGUUGAAUUGACGAGGAUCGUCUAAGAAUCUGCUUGUAGAUUUCAGCAUUGACAGUCUUUUGUAAACAAAUAAGUAGACCAGGACCAGCAGCAGUGACCAUUCCCCAUACCAUUACACUUCCUACUCCUCCAUAUUUCAUUGUCUUUUUCACACAUGCACGAUAUUACCUUUCGCCACUUCUUCGGACAUACAUCUCGCCAUUGGAGCCAAUCACAUUAAACUACGAUUCAUCGCUAAAAUAAACCUACGACCACUGUUCUUCUGUCCAAACGACGUGUUCGUGAGUGAAACGAAGAUGGACUCGUUGAUUCUUCUUGGAGAUCAGAGGUUUCGUUGCAGGUGCCCGAGCAAGCAACCCAGAACCUCCUAACCUCUGAGAAAGUGUUUUGCGCGAUAUUUUGACAUUGGAAGUAGAGCUAAACUCGCGGGAUAUCUCAGCAGCACUCUUAAACCAGUGACAUUCUGACCAUAAUACGAUCCUGUCUAGGUGAAAUUUUACGAGUUCUACCGGUUUGGGGUUUAGCAUCUGAGCAACAAUUCGUUGCACAACAUUUCUGGACAGUAGAUGCUAUCACAGAAUUCGACUUGCCCUCUUGCUGAAGGCACACUAUCAUUUGUUUUUCAUCACAGGAUACUGGUCGUCUCUCAGAAGCCGUCAUGUUGAUAGAUGAAUGUUCCAAUGAUGUAAGUUCAUAAGAAGUAACUGUUAGCCCGUUAACAGUCUUCUAAACAACACAUACCUCGGUUAGUAGUUCAGUUUUUUUCUAAGUGACCCUUAACUUUUUACCGCUGCAAUUUGGAACCUUACUGGUUUAUUUCCUCAUAAUAUAUAUUCCAUUCACUUGAAAUUUUCUUGAAAGAUAGAUAGAAGAUAUAUCUAAAUUCAAAACACCAUAUUAACAACACAAUUUUCUAUAACUAUUUCAAUACAUUUGUUCUUACUGACCCUUAUAUUAUGGUCGCUACUGUAAAUAUAGAUACGCACACACACACGUCCACAUACAUGCAGGCACACAUAUACGAGUGUAAGAGUGUAAGUAUGUGAGUAUUAUGCAUAUGUGUAUGUGUGCAUGUUUGUACAUAUAUACACACGUUUUGCGCGAGUCGGGGAUCUUCUGAUUUACUCUGGAUCUCGACAACGGGGUUAAAACGACUAUGUUUGGGUUACAUUUUCCUCUUGGGGAAGCGACAGAAGGCUGCAGAUGCUAAAUUUGCCGAAUAGGGCGGGUGCAGAAGCGAUACCAUGUUAUUUUUUGGCGAGAAACAAGUUUCAAGAAUCCAAUUCUUGUCGUGGUGAAGAAUCCAAUUCUUCAUGCUCCACAAAUCCAGACGCCUUCACCGAUUGUCCUCCAUCAAACGCUUCAACACGUUGCCGUAGAACUUUCGAUUGACUGUCAGAUCCUGAGAGAAGAAUUCUUGAUACACAAUACAUUUCUGGGGGUGACACUCGUGGCAGGUCUUCCAGAUUGCUCAUCAAUGUCCAGGAACGUUCUUCCGCUUUGAAACCGUCCAUGACACUUGAAACAUUGCGUACGACUCAUUGCUUUGUUGCCAUAAGCUUGCGAAAGUAUGCUCAAUGUCUCUGCUGCAGACUUCUCAAGUUUAACACCAAUUUUCUCGUUAGCUCUAUGUUCCUGUCUAUGACAAAAUUGUAGACUUCAGCAUACCCACCAUCACAAAGACAAAUUUCACAGCUUUCAAAAUAAACUCAGCAAUGUCACUUGGCACACUAUCUCAUGAAGGUCAUUACUACCUCUCAUUGCGCAUGCAACAGUGUGCUGUCAUCUUGUGGCGCGCUAUAAAAAUAGUCCUGGGAACUUUUGAUACCACCUCCUAUGUGUAUGUAGGUCUGUGUAUAUUUACUAUUACCUAGAAUAUGUAUCAUAGUGUGCAUGCAUGCUUAGAUUUAUGUUCAUGUUUGUUAGAGCUUGUUUUACAGCUUCUUUGUCUGCAUAUACAUGUGUUUAUGUUUACCGUUGGAUAUAUGUAAAAGAACUUUAAAGUGUGUGCGGGGAAACAUUUGAAAAGAGCAUGCAAACGUUACGUAAACAUUUAAUAAGAGCUGCUUAAAUUAAUGACUAUUAUAAUUAUUUCGUCGUAUAUAUGUAUAUAUAUAUAUGUGUGUGUGUGUGUGUAUGUGUGUGUCUGUGUUUGACCCCCCCCAACAUCGCUUGACAACUGAUGGUGGUGUGUUUACGUCCCCGUCAAUUAGCGGUUCGACAAAAGUGACCGAUAGAAUAAGUACUAGGCUUACAAACAAUAAGUCCUGGGGUCGAUUUGCUCGACUAAAGGCAGUGCUCCCACAUGGCCCCAGUCACAUGACUGAAACAAGUAAAAGAUUAUUUAUAUAUAUAUAUAUAUAUAUAUAUAUAUAUAUAUAUAUAUAUAUAUAUAUAUAUAUAUAUAUAUACAUAUGUAUGUAUGCAUAUGCGAACUUUGGGUUAGUUAAAAUAUGUUUGCGACAUACUUGAAGUUCUAAAAACAAGAAGGUGUAAAAACAUCAGGUGUUUUCGCACCUUUUACCAUAAAAAUAAUUUUUUUCUUCACGGUAACUGCAGUGAAUUUGCCUUUAGGAGUUGAAAUAUAUCAGAAACAUAUUUUAACCUACAGUUUGCAUAUGCUAAACCACUGCUUGGCGCUGAUAAUGACAAAUAUAUAUAUAAGAUUAUAAUUUAGGAUAUCUAAGAGAUACCACCACGCUUGAAAUAGCAGCCAAAACUUGACUUUAAAACCACAUCAAAAAUUCAUACAGCACCAGGAGAGAAGACAAAAAGACAAAAUAAACUAGUAACGGACGACAUUGAAAACAUACGGACAGAAGGACGAUACAAAGAUGGACAGGGAAACCAGAUCGGAACCCUCGUAGCUUUCUAUUCUUCAGUCAAGCUUCCAAUCAUCAUUACAGUUUCGGCCUAUAUAUCGAGGAUCAAUGGCCCAGUGGUUAGCGUUGCGGACUCGCGGUCGUAGGAUCACGGUUUCCAUUCCCAGACCGGGCGUUGUCAAUGUGUUUGAGCGAAAACACCCGAAGUCCAACGAGGCUCCGGCAGGGGAUGGUGGCAAACCCUGAUGUACUCUUUUACCAAAUCUUUCCCUCACUCUUUCUUCCUGUUUCUGUUGUCCCUGUAUUUCAAAGAGCCAACCUUGUCACACUCUGUGUUACACUGAAUCUCCCCGAGAACUACGUUAAGGUUACACAUGUCUGUGGAGUGCACGAGCAGGCUGUUCCGUUGACCGGAUCAACUAGAACCCUCGUCGUCGUAAUCGACGGAGUACUACGAUAUAUAUACAUUCAUAUAUACAUAUGUGUGUCUGUAUGUAUAUAUAUAUAUAUAUAUAUAUAUAUAUAUAUAUAUAUAUAUAUAUAUAUAUAUAUAUAUAUAUAUAUGUGUGUGUGUGUGUGUGUGUGUGUGUGUGUGUGUAUGCAUAUAGAUUUGUUAACAUGUGUGUAUGUGCAUAUGUAUGUAAAUAUAUGUACAUCGAAUUGAUAACCUACUUUGUUGUUGCUACUUUUUUUUAACCUUCGAAUGUACUUCCGGUUCUCAUGUUGAUACAUUCCAUAAUCUUUCUUAAAGAAGUGAGAAUCAAUAAAUUUACAACGAAGUAUACUGUACGGUCAGUUACUCUGAAACCAGCGUAUUACUGGUAGUUAUAUUAUAGAACUCAAGAUCUUUUUCGUAAUAGUUUCAGAUGACAAAAUUCGAAUCCUUUCAUUUCGGGACACAGAAAGCAAAAGUAUCUGCUCAAAUAGGGCAGGGCUUAUGGUCCAGCAAUCCGCUCGUUCGGAGUAAUAGCAUGUGGCUGUCUUUCCCAGCUUGGAGUUAAUCGCGUUCUGGUUAUCUACUCGUUGAUGAGAAAUAUUCCAUUUAAAUUAAUUCUAAAUCUAACAGAUUUUCCGAUUUCACACUUGUAUGAUAUUUUUAUCGCGGUUCGCAAGGUAAAUAUAUUUGGCUUGGGAAUUGAUGUGAUGAGUCAUAUAUUCCGUUGAGUCAUACAAACAAUACGAAAUACUUAGGUCUUCUGUUCUUCAUGGUGGGCAAGUAAGCAUGACAGGACCGCCAUUACUAAGUUAUAUCCACGUCAUUCACGAUGUCAUAUCUGUGUAUAUCACAAUGCUAUAUCUACGUCACUCUCUAUGCUAUAUCCACGACUGAAGUGGAUUCAUAUCAAUCAUUCAUUUCAGAGUGAAGUAUAUGACCCUCUGGAUUAGACUUUCCAUAGAUGUGUAUGUGUGUAUUGUAUGCUUGUGCAAAUAUGUAUAUAAAUGUGUGUGUAUAUAUAUAUAUAUUUAUACACACACACACACAUCUUGUACACAGAGGCAACAGGGUAACGCCGUUAGUGGAAGGGGUUGGGAAGGUGAAAGGGGAGUGCACAUUAUAUAUAUGUAUAUAUAUUUAUAUAUGUAUGUAUAUAUGUAUAUAUAUGCAUAUAUACAUACAUAUAUAUAUAUACAUCCAUACAUACACGUAAAUGUGUUUGUGUAUAUACAGAUAUAUAAGUACGUAUAUACAUAUGUAUAAACCAAUAUAUGUAUGCAUAUAUAUAUACAUUUAUAUACAUAUAUAUGUAUGCAACCAAAUAAAUGCAUACAUAUAUCAUUCAUAUGUGUAUAUAUAUAUAUAUAUAUAUAUAUAUACAAGUAUAAACAUAAGCGCAUAUAAGUAUAGAUAGAUAGGUAGAUAGAUAGAUAGAUAGAUAGAUAGAUAGAUAGAUAGAUAGAUAGAUAGAUAGAUAGAUAGAUAGAUAGAUAGAUAGAUAGAUAGAUAGAUAGAUAAGUGCUGCUUCGCAUACCAAGCACUAGCCGGCUUGUGGGGUGUCAUCAGGAGAAAACAUGCGCCGUUUCAGUACCUUCUUCUCGGCGGCAUUAUUACGCACCGAUCCACUUCACUUAGAUGCCCGACUUUAUAUAUAUGAUAUACAUAUAUUUUUAUGUUUUUACUUAGACUGGGGCCAUGCUGGAGCACCGCCUUGAAGCUCAUGAUAGUAAGGUUGUGAGUUCGAUUCCCGGCGACGCGUUUGUUCCUUGAGCAAGACACUUUAUUUCACAUUGCUCCAGUCCACUCAGCUGGCAAAACUGAGUAGUACCUGUAUUUCAAAUGACCCAGCCUUGUGUCACGCUGAAUCUCCUUGCGAACUACGUUAAGAGUACACGUGUCUGUGGAAUGCUCAGCCACUUGCACGUUAAUCUCAUGAGCAAGCUGUUCCGUUGAUCGUAUCAGCUGGGACCCUCAUCGUCGUAACCGACGCUGUGCUCCUAUAUAUAUGUGUGUGUGUGUGUGUGUGUGUAUGUGUGUGCGUGUGUGCGCGCGCGCGCGCGUGUGUGUGUGUGUAUGUAUAUAUAUAUAUAUAUAUAUAUAUAUAUAUAUAUGACAAUCAUGGUGACUAGCGGCAAGAGUGACGGUGAAUUAUAUAUAUAUAUAUAUAUAUAUAUAUAUAUAUAUAUAUAUAUAUAUAUAUAUAUACGACGGACUUCUUUUAGAUUCUGUCUUUCAAAUCCACUCACAAGGCUUUGCUGGGCUCGUAGCCAUAGUAGAAAACACUACCCCUAGUUGCUGUGUGUAUGCACAUAUAUAUUUCCAUAUAUGCUGAGAGGAACCUUUAACGUUUCUGACACAGAUCUCUCUUCGGAGUAAAGUUGACACAAAGAAAUAAAGGAAACACAGCUGAAUUUUACAAGCUUUAUCAUGUUAGAAAACCUGUUUACCCUGGUUGCAACCAGUUUGUCAGACAUUUUUAAAGGAUAAAAUUCAUCAUAGCUCAGCUGCAAGUUAUUCCAUUGAACAAACAACUGAAUCCAUCGUCAUAUUAUUUAGUAUGCGAGUGACAAAACUAAUAUAUUUAAAGUAGUGUGAUAUAUGUGACGUGAUGGCAGUAUAUUAAAUUUUAUAAUAGAUUUAAUAAAAACUGGAGCAGUGUGAUAGAAUGCUUAGGCAAUUUGCUUCACAAUUAUAAGCUGUUGCUUUCGAUCCUAAUGCUUAGCAUCUUCGGCAGAUUUUAUUUUCUAUAGACUCAGGUCGACCAAUUUUUGUAACUGAAAUUAUAUAGACGGAAAACUGUUUAGAAGUCCAUCCGUUGGACUGCACCAGUAUUUUUAGAUAGUAAAAUCUUGUUACACGCUGUGUCACACUAAAUUGGCCUGAGAUUUAUGUUAAGUGAUCACAUGACUUCGAAAUACUCAACCAAGUAUCGUUAAUGCACGUGCACGAGCGAGUUAUUCAGUUGGUCACACAACUGUAUCCCCGUCGAUGAACGACGAAGAUCCACCACUACAUCAAUCCAUUGACAAAAUGCGAGUAACGAUCUGUUGAAUACUAUAUAAAUGUAGCAUUUUGAAAACUAAAAAGAAACAAUAGAAAUGUACAAAUGUAAGAAUGAUACCUCCGGAUUUCUAGAAUACUGCAUUCCAGGCAGAAUAUACAUAUACAUAUACAUACAUACAUACAUACAUACAUACAUACAUACAUAUAUGUGUAUAUAUAUAUAUAUAUAUAUAUAUGGGUUUUUUAAGGCUACAUAUGAUAUCAUGUGUUGUAGAUUGGAAUCAUAUCUGACAGACUAUAUCAUCAACCAAGAUAUGCAGAAGAAGAGGGAAAAGCAAUAAAUAAUACCGAAUGAAAUGCGACGAAGGUAUUGAAGAGAGAGAAAACGGAAAAUGAUAGGUCUAAGGU